rnacentral:rRNA from 2 species
UACGAAGGGUGCAAGCGUUGCUCGGAAUUAUUGGGCGUAAAGGGUAGGUAGGUUGUCUUGUUUGUCUAAGGUGAAAUCCCACGGCUUAACUGUGGAAGUGCCUUAGAAACGGCAAGACUAGAGUCCUAGAGGGGUUUGUGGAAUUCCCGGUGUAGCGGUGAAAUGCGUAGAGAUCGGGAGGAACACCAGCGGCGAAGGCGGCAAACUGGAUAGGAACUGACACUCAACUACGAAAGCGUGGGGAUCAAACAGG